UUUAGUCGUAACCAAGGUUUCCGUAGGUGACCCUGCGGAAGGAUCAUUAAUGAAUUCUGAAAGGGGUUGUAGCUGGCCGUUUCGUUUGAGCGGCAUGUGCACGCCCUGCUCAUUAUCCAUCUCACACACCUGUGCACAUACUGUAGGUCGGCUUUUGAUUGGAGUGGGGUCUUAAUCGACUCUGCUCUUUAGUUGGGGCCUUCCUAUGUUUUAUCACACACUACUUCAGUUUAAAGAAUGUCCUCUUGCGUCUAACGCAUUUAAAUACAACUUUCAGCAACGGAUCUCUUGGCUCUCGCAUCGAUGAAGAACGCAGCGAAAUGCGAUAAGUAAUGUGAAUUGCAGAAUUCAGUGAAUCAUCGAAUCUUUGAACGCACCUUGCGCUCCUUGGUAUUCCGAGGAGCAUGCCUGUUUGAGUGUCAUGGAAUUCUCAACUCUGUUUACUUUUGUGAAUAGAGCUUGGACUUGGAGGUUUAUUGCCGGUACCUGUGAUCGGCUCCUCUUGAAUGCAUUAGCUCGAACCUUUUGUGGAUCAGCUUAUCGGUGUGAUAAAAAUGUCUACGCCGUUACUGUGAAGCAUAUUAUUCGGCUUCCAAUCGUCCUUCACGGGACAAUAACUUUGACCUUUGACCUCAAAUCAGGUAGGAUUACCCGCUGAACUUAAGCAUAUCAAUAAGCGGAGGAAAAGAAACUAACAAGGAUUCCCCUAGUAACUGCGAGUGAAGCGGGAAAA
rnacentral:rRNA from 1 species